rnacentral:misc_RNA from 1 species
GAUGAAGAACGUAGCGAAAUGCGAUAAGUAAUGUGAAUUGCAGAAUUCAGUGAAUCAUCGAAUCUUUGAACGCACAUUGCGCCCCCUGGUAUUCCGGGGGGCAUGCCUGUUCGAGCGUCAUUACACCACUCAAGCCUCGCUUGGUAUUGGGCAACGCGGUCCGCCGCGUGCCUCAAAUCGACCGGCUGGGUCUUCUGUCCCCUAAGCGUUGUGGAAACUUUCGCUAAAGGGUGUUCGGGAGGCUACGCCGUAAAACAACCCCAUUUCUAAGGUUGACCUCGGAUCAGGUAGGGAUACCCGCUGAACUUAAGCAUAUCAAUAAGCGGAGGA